UACGUAGGGUGCGAGCGUUGUCCGGAAUUAUUGGGCGUAAAGAGCUCGUAGGCGGUUUGUCGCGUCGACUGUGAAAACCUACAGCUUAACUGUGGGCUUGCAGUCGAUACGGGCAGACUUGAGUUCGGUAGGGGAGACUGGAAUUCCUGGUGUAGCGGUGAAAUGCGCAGAUAUCACGAGGAACACCGGUGGCGAAGGCGGGUCUCUGGGCCGAUACUGACGCUGAGGAGCGAAAGCGUGGGGAGCGAACAGG
rnacentral:rRNA from 1 species